GGCGAACGGACCCACUCCAGGCAGUGGGAACGAUUGCUGCGGGGCAGGUAGAGGAGGCCAGUCUUCUGAAAGGGAUACAGAUGAAGGGGAUGAACACCUUGGACGUUUAUCCUGGGACAUUAGUGGAUUAGAUGGAGGGGUGCGACGCUUUCUGCGUCGGGAGAUUGGCAGGAUCGGUUGCUCCUGAGCGGUGAGUGAGGAUGUAGCCGGUAGCCCAGCUAACUUCUCCAGUGGGGUGAAGAAGUUUGACAACGGGAUGAAAUCAUCGUCGUACUCAUCCAAGUCAGGGGAAAAGAAGGGGAGAGAGACCCGUCUCCCCUUCUUAACAGCAGUCGUCCAGGAGGAAAAGGGAGCAUCCGAUGUGCGGUGGUCAGCGUUGGCCGAGCUUGGACCAUCCUGCUGCAGCGCUUCCACCCGGGCGAGAAGCGAGGAUUGGCGCUGGAGGACAUCAUCCAGGAGGGUCGCAAUGGAGCGAAGCUCUGACUUCAGGCAGGACAGCUCAUGGUCCGCCGUAGUGAGUGGAGGCAUACUCGCAGCAAACCUGGGUUCCAAUUCCCAGGUUCCAAACGAGCUUGGCUCGUGGGAGUCAACGGCAGGGCUUGUUCAGCAGCGUUCAAAACGCACAAGACUUCACACCAAGUGACCAAGUGUUCUAUGCAUCAAUAUUUUGUAUGGGAAGAUGUGCUAUCUAUCAAUAUAUCUUUAUAAUCCAAAUGAGUCUUCUUUUCUUCGAUGUGGCGCUCACUCUUAUCCAGCUGGUGUUCUACAUAAUGGGUUCCAAAUCACCAUUAUUUUCUGUGUGUGGUUGGAUUGGAGACAAUGACCCUAUGCUUUCAACAAGCAACACAUCACAAGUGGACUCUCAGUAUAUAGUUAUGAUGAAACAUCCUUUGGGGCGAGGGAAGUGUAUGGGGUUAGUUUAUAAUCAGGAGAUCAGGGGAUCUGUUUAUAACAAAUCUAGUGCAUCUCUGCAUUACUGUCGUUUUACUUAGUAGCGCAUGUAGCAAUGCCACUUAACAAAAACAGUCUUUGUAUACUGUUUUGCAAUUUAAUAAGUGUGGAUAGUGCUGUGUGUCACAGCAGUGCCAUUAGUGUCAUAGUAUAACUGUAUUGGGCCAGUGGUGUCACAGUGUCAUGUUAUUGUACCAUUAGUGUCAUAGUAUAACUGUAUUGUAGCAGUGGUGUCACAAUGGCUCCGUGAAUAGUAGGGAAUAGCUAUUCCCCACGAUUCACUUCGCCUUCGGCGAGUAAUUGUUAGGUAUCAGUAUUUUCAUUCGGUCAUGUUAUUGUACCAUUACUGACAUUCUUUCAUGUUAUCGUACCAUUAGUGUCAUGUUAUUGUACCAGUAAUGUCCAUUAAUACUGUAAUGGUUAUAACAUUAGUGUCAUAAUGUAUUUUUCAUAUUGGACUGUUCCCUCACCCCAUAUUGAAGACAUUAUUGAAUCACUAAAUGAUGAUGAAGAAUAGGAUGGUUUUACUUAACAGUUAGGCAUAUUUGAUUGUACUGAAUUAAUUACUUUAACAUAUUAUUUUAUUUGACCCCUUAUUUAACUUUAAUUUUCAUUCAUUUUGACUGGCCUGUCAGACCAAAACUUUGUGGUGACCCCUGAAAUACACCGGAAGUGAGCAUUCCCCUGUAGUACUUCUGGGUCGUUUCAAUCUCAUUGCUCUGAUUUAAAUCCUCCAAUGAUUUACUGGAACUCAGAUAUCUCUGUGCAUGGGCUUUCCCUUCAGAGCGUCUGCUCAGACCUCGGCUGGAAGGCCUUGGACAUGAGGACGGUCAGGGUCGACUGAGGGAAACAAGGACUUUUCUGGUGGUGACGGCUCAAGGCUCAUGCUGCACGCCAUCAGCUCUCUGGAUCUGAUUAGGAAUCAAGGUCUGGGGUGGCCAGCCCAGACACUUAUUUUUUGUUGUAUCUGAACGUGGUAAUAUUUCUUAUGUGACUAUGAAAAGAGUAAUAUGUGCAAUUUUGUCACUUAAUACAAGCCAUUUCAGCCCGUCUCUGCUAUCCUGUGGCUAACGCUCCACCCGGCCCCAGACGCGUUCUGUUUGGACAGGAACACCGGGGCUCUCAAAACACAUUUUAUCAUUUUCUUGUAGUGUUUGAAUUUCAAGCUAAACCCAGGGUAUGCUCACACACUAGGAUAACCACAGCAGGCCCAUCUGAGCCACAGAACUGAACCAUGGGAACCAAGAUCCUUUGGGAUGAUAGCAUUUGCAAUUUGUUCAACAAUAUAAGCAGUAAGAAUAUUUAUACCCACUCCUGUACGUUAUUCAGUGAGACGUUGAAUGCAGUGGAAUGUGUUUUGUGUACAGGAAAUAUAAAGCAAACAUUUAUUAUUCCGUGUAGAGGAG
ensembl:lncRNA